CACGUGGGCAACCUGCCUGUAAGUUGGGGAUAACUCCGGGAAACCGGGGCUAAUACCGAAUGAUAAAGUGUGGCGCAUGCCACGCUUUUGAAAGAUGGUUUCGGCUAUCGCUUACAGAUGGGCCCGCGGUGCAUUAGCUAGUUGGUAGGGUAAUGGCCUACCAAGGCAACGAUGCAUAGCCGACCUGAGAGGGUGAUCGGCCACACUGGGACUGAGACACGGCCCAGACUCCUACGGGAGGCAGCAGUAGGGAAUCUUCCGCAAUGGACGAAAGCCUGACGGAGCAACGCCGCGUGUAUGAAGAAGGUUUUCGGAUCGUAAAGUACUGUUGUUAGAGAAGAACAAGGAUAAGAGUAACUGCUUGUCCCUUGACGGUAUCUAACCAGAAAGCCACGGCUAACUACGUGCCAGCAGCCGCGGUAAUACGUAGGUGGCAAGCGUUGUCCGGAUUUAUUGGGCGUAAGGCGCGCGCAGGCGGUCUUUUAAGUCUGAUGUGAAAGCCCCCGGCUUAACCGGGGAGGGUCAUUGGAAACUGGAANACUGGAGUGCAGAAGAGGAGAGUGGAAUUCCACGUGUAGCGGUGAAAUGCGUAGAUAUGUGGAGGAACACCAGUGGCGAAGGCGACUCUCUGGUCUG
rnacentral:rRNA from 1 species